rnacentral:rRNA from 1 species
UACGUAGGGAGCGAGCGUUAUCCGGAAUUAUUGGGCGUAAAGGGUGCGUAGAUGGUUGAUAUAAGUCUUUUGUAAAAAUGCUAGGCUCAACCUAGUAGGGCAAAAGAUACUGAUGAACUAGAGUACGGCAGAGGCAAGUGGAACUACAUGUGUAGCGGUAAAAUGCGUAAAUAUAUGUAAGAACACCGGUGGCGAAGGCGGGUUCCUGGACAUUAACUGACGCUGAGGCACGAAGGCCAGGGGAGCGAAAGGG